AGAUGAUCAGAGCGAAUGACAGGCACGAGGCCUGGGGCUACCAUUCUGCAGAGGGUUGAUUCCAAUGGGUUGACACCUGCUGGCUUAGGCAGGCAUCCCUCUCCUCCUUCACUGCUCCAUGUGAAUCCCUCCUGAAGCUGCGUGCUGGCUGGAAGAGGAGGAUCUUCUCUGAUAGAGGACAACUGUUCUGUGGUCAAGUGUAUACCAUUCCCUGCUAGAACCGCAGAACAAGCUCAAACUGGAAGGUGAAUCUUGAACAUGUACAUCCUGUUGCCUUCAAAGUACUCAGAAGAGGGGAAUUCAGAAGAGGGGAAUUCAGGUUUUCUUUUGCUAAGAGAAACUU
ensembl:misc_RNA 7SK 7SK RNA